UCAUCUCCUGCUCCCUUCACAUACCCCUCCAUCUCUCUCCCAAGUCCCAAGGAGGCGCGGCCGUAGGGCGACGGCGCCCUCGCAGGCGGCGCGCUGGCACGAGCAGGCCAUGGCGGCCCUCCUAGAUCCUCCGCUGCCGGUGCCCAUACUGAAGGUCCUCGCCGCCACCGGCACCACUCGGACGGCCACGGCUGUGGCCCCUGCUGUUGGCGGCCCCGGUACGGCGUGGCGCAGGCGGUGCGCCGUUGGUGGCCACGGCUGCCCCCUUCCCGGCUUCCCCCUACCCACACUAGCGAGGGCUGGUGCCGGUGUUCUACACCGCUAGGCGCUCUGCUUGACCUCCCGUCGUCUGAUCGAUAGGGCCAACAGGGCAACGGCUGCCAGUACGGGACAAAACGGCAAGAGGGCAAAGGCCGCCGACACCCACGGGGACUGGGACAAUGGAAAAUGCCAUCGAUCACGGCCUGUUUUUCUCCUUGGACAAUCUCCUGCAGAUCCGGAACAGAUCGAGAAGGUGAGUUGCUUCGCUUUCUAGGUGAUUUGGAAUUUUUCUCCACCUUAGGCUGAUUCAUUAGUUUGUUGGUUGUUUGCAGCCUGAAGAAUAAUUGAUUAAUUUUGUAGAGUUAGGAAAGAAGCAAGUUUUGCUCGCUUCCUCUCUGUUCUGUAAACCAUAUAUUCUUUAACGAUGUCAGUUUCCAUGUAUUUAAGGUUUGACACAAAAUCUGAAUUCUAACCCACCCUAAUAUGGACAAAUAUAAUAUAUGGCAAUAGAGAAAUUGUUAGUUGAGUAUGUUUUCGAUCACUAUUACCAUCACCCCUACAACAUAUAAAGCCAAAGCUUAUGGAUAACUGUGUUUUCACUAGAGCUACAUGUAUUUCCUUCAUGACAGAGAGGCUCAAUGUUUUAAAUCUUUUGUUCUUAUCUUACAACUAGCAUCUUGUCAUAUUUUGUGGUCUUGCAGGAUUGAGAUGCUACAGAGUUCAAACAUGUUGGGAAGUGCCAAAAUUGAUGGCUAAUAUGUGAUAAUAAAAUCAACACAUUUUAAAUUAUUUGUUUUCACAGUGAAACAUAGCAUUGCACUGGUACUUUUGGCCUCAAAUUUGCACUGGUACUACUGAAGUGUUUUAACUUUCAGAAAUCAACGGCUUGUCUCAUGUUUGGGAGUUGAAAUACACACCUACACUCUUGGCUUUCUUGCAGGGUUUUGUUCCUUGAAUCUUAAUGAUAUUUUGAUUGUUCAUUUUAUUUUUUUAUAAUGUUUAUCUUAUUUUGUAUGUUACUGUAGCAGGCACACUGGGGAUUGGCAACGACCUCUGAACAGUAUGUAGAAGAAUCGCAGAAUAAGAUAUUAAAGUCUUUACUUGGCCAGCAGUUCCAAUGUUGCAGUACAAGCACUGCUGCAAUUCCAGAUUGCCGAGAGUUACAGACAAGAGGGUCUACGCUGGUCUGAUAUGUGCAUGCUGCAUGAACAAGUUUGGACUUUGCAUUCACCAGUUGCACUCAUCCGUCAGACUCUCUAAAAGCAUUUUCUAUUUAAUGUUCUUGUGUACUGACUUGCGGAUGUGAAGACCGUCAGGAUGGAAAGGGGUGUGAAGGCCGUCAGGACUAACUCGCCUCAACUUUUGCUGGGUUAACUAGCUCUAAUCACAGCUUGUACAGUUGCCGGCUAUAGAUUUUUAUGCCUUUUCAAUUUUUUAUCUUAAUGUGUCCCGUGCUUCAAAUUAAAUAAGUUAAUUAUACUAUGCGAGACAUGACUUUAUUAUGUCUCAUUAUGCAUGAGUAUUUUUUUGUAUUAUAUGUAUGGUCACAUAUAAUUGCAUGAGACUUAAACUGUAGAAAACUAUCAUUGUUUAGUUGUUUUCAUGUGCAUUCUGAAAAAAGCCGUAGCGUUAGCACGGGCACUAUACUAGUAUUGCCAGGUUAAUUUGCAUCCGUCCCUGGUUUACAUUUGAACCGGCGAUCUCUACCCGUGGAAAGAUGAUGUCUUUUUUUGAAGUGUAAACACGUUGGCUAUAUGUGAGGCGAGCCGGUGACCUUGGACGCCGUCGUCAUCAGUUCCUCUCACGCGGUCAAAUUUGCCCCCACGUUGUCUCGCCUCAUAUCCACACCUCGAUCUCUUCUCCACAGUCUGGCCUGGCGGCAGUCUCCACUCCCCAUCCCCAUCCCCAUCCCAGUCGGAGAAGAGGCCAUCCCCGCCGGCCGCCGCGAGACACUACAACCGACCCUGCGCGCGGCGGCGCCCAAGCUCGCCUCGUCUCCAUGCGGCACGAGCGCUCCGGACCCGAUCAGGUGCCGAAAAAAAUUUUCCUACCGAAAAAGAAAACCUUGGUGACGCCUUGCCAGGAUUGGGCGUGAAUUUUUAAGUGCGCGUCAUCUGCCGGGUGAACAACCGUGGAGCGGUGUUUCGUCUGCCAGUGGACGAUUGCUACCGAGAUGUUUUAGUUGUAGAGAUCUAGGUUAUAACUCAUGGACAGAAAUAGAACCUAUGAACUGAAUUUAAACCUGUAACUUCAAUAAAUCAGCACUUAAGCUAUCCUGGAUCCAACUUAUUUACGAUCUGAGAUGCUUAGCUCAAUUAAGAACCAUGUUUGCCUAGCAUUGUACUCCCUCCGUCCAUAAGUCUCCUUCAUUUUAGCCUCCGGCACCUUGACCAAGGAAGCGUUGAGGCAUGCAAAUCCUUCUUUAAUCACAGCUCUCCAUUUAAUGCUUGGUGUCUGUUAGUUUUCUGCAAUACUAAGAUGCAACGCCGUUUUCCCACAUGCAAGCGUUGCAUGCUGCAUGCGGAGGCUAGCUGGCGUACCUGAAGGGAAGCAAACAAAAUUCAACGGGAAUGCAGCAACAACGUAUUUAUUCGGCUUGGCAUAUGAGGAGUAUUGAGCGCAGGAAACAAAGCAAAAAUAGGGGAGACCAUGGAGACUAUUGGAAUUGUUUUUUUGCUCAAAUGAUAGAGAGGAGUACUAUCAUCCAUGUUUUUUGGGGAAAAGAAUAUAAACCCAUCUCCAAGAGUACCCCAUAUCCCUUUUGGGAGUUGGAAAACAUGGAGUUUUGGGGAGAACAAUAUGAGGCACUCUUGGAGAUUCUCAAGAUUCUCUAAGAUAAUGUUCUCUUGAUAAAAAAUAACAAUUACUAUGACUGCAAAAAAUACAUUAUUACCAGCUUGACCACCAUUAGUCUUCAAACUGUUUAGUGCUUUGCAUUUGGUGAAGGCUUUGCAUUUCGUCUUCAAACUGCUUGAUGCACAACUUCAGAUUGUAUUGCACAUAAAACAACUUGUGGAGCUUCUCAUAAUUUAAUCUAUUUCUUAAUUUGGUAUGAACUAAGGCGAAUGUGCUCCAAUUUCGUGCACACCCACUAGAGGGACAUAUAUGCAUUAUGAUACAAUAUGUCGUGCAAGCUCUUGUAGUUCUUUACUUCUUUGCAAGCUCCACCAUAUUGAUCCCACCAAUCAGCUAAAAAAGGGAAAAAUAAAAUCCUUAUUCAUUACUACAGGCAAGACAAAAGUAUCCUGGAAUACUAUGAAAACAGCAAGUUAAAAACCUUAUUCAUUACUGCCAGCAAGACAAAAGUAUGCUGAAAUAAUACUAUGAAAACAGCAAGAUAAAAUCAUUGUUCAUUACUACCAGCAAGACAAAAGUAUGCUGAAUUCACUACCACCAGCAGUUUAGAUGCAAUUACCUGGACGCAUUUUGCCACUGAGUGCUGGUCUUCGAGCCUCCUCUCCUCCCAAAUAACCCACCUUGCUUGCUGAAAAUAGUAUAUUGGUCAACUGCAGCAGAAGCCUUUGAAGAUGAGCUUGCAAGCUUCUUGAAGGCAAAUGUGACAUGAUGUCUAUAUUCUGUUCUUGCAAGCUUGUGAAUUAAGUGCAGCAGUUAAGAUGAGAAAUAAGUCCAGCAACAUUAGAAAUUGGUGGAGUGCUUGAAAUAGGAACAUGUAUUGAACAAGCUUCACUUUAGCCCUUACCUGCAAUCAUAAGAUUAUCAUUGACAAGAUAUUGAAGCCUUCCUUUGAUUACCUCCAUUAACUUAUCAAGCAUAAGUUUGUAACCGAGAUCAGGAUUAUGACUUAGGUUGCCACAUAUGUCAUCUAUAGAACUUAAAUUUUUGGGAAGGAAUCCAGAUAUUGAAGUACCCUUCUGCUGAUCAGCAAAACAAAGUACAGAAUAGAGCAGUGAGACAGCUUUUAACACCAAUUCCAUCUCACUCCAUCUUUUGGAAGUCAAACAAUUAUAUGUGUAAUCAUGUUGCUCUUCGUUUGCCGUCCUGCAACUCUCCCAAUCAUCAGAUAUCAUCCAUUGCUUAAACUUAUCUUGUCUAUCCCAGAAACUCUGAAGAAAUAUGAAAAGUGCGCCAAACCUAUAGUGGCAUUCCACCUAAUGAGCUCCCCACCAAUCUUUUCUCUCAUCAUAGCAUGCACCCUACAAUGAGAAGAGUCAUUACAAAACUAUAAUUGUUUUCAACACAACUUUCUCAAUUAUAGUAGUAACAGUAAUUACCUAUUAUGCUUGUACAAGAACCUACAAAUUCAAUUUGCACUAUUCACAACAUAUUUGGCAUCAAUAUAGGUCACUUGAGCUCAUCGGACGGGCAUGCCUAUCGAGUUUUUCUUUUUCUAUUAACAAAACGGUGUGGAUCGAGCUUCUCCGCUCGAGCUCAUCGGAGUGGUGCGCCUAUCUCCCCAAACCAGUGCAUCCCCUUUAGGAUCGAGCAUCUGGCUAUGCGGGUCACGAAUUUGAGAUUCUCCUGCUGGUGCCACUGUCAGGGACGAGCCUGGUUGCAAAUCAAGCUUUCCGUUGGAAUUGUUGUCGAUUUCCAGAGUUUACUGCGAUAGAACUAGGCAAAAUGGAUUCCCAAGGUCACGAAGAAUUGGUUGCUGGUAGUGUUGCUUGGCACUGGUCUUGGUAGCAGUGUACCGGUGACGACGUUGAGUGGUGGCAGCGACAAGAGUUGUCAAUUCAAAGCAGUAGGGUAAGGUGAAAAAGUGAGACUCAUGGUAACACCAAGAUUUCCUUGCCUGGCAGGUGACGCUUGCGUCGCUUAUCCUUGCAUGACGAGCCAAGCUGAGAAAGGCAAGCUUUGCUUAGGGAAGUAUCCAAGCAGCCUAACUUUUGGCAGCAUGCUGAAGUCUUGCAAUGAAAUAAACAGGGGUCGAAACCUUCUGUGGCAUCACCUACAUGACUAAAUUGCGGUGUGGCCAGUUCUAGCUCCCUGCCGACUCGAGUUUUUGUGCUUGGGUGAAGCACUGGUUUGGGGAGAAUUGGUUGCGAAGAAUUGGUUGUUGGUAGUGUUGCUCCGUGUUAGGUAUGGUAGCCGUUUACCAGUGACAACAUUGAGUGGUGGCAGCAACAACAGUUGUCAGUUCAAAGCAGCAGGGUAAGGGGGAGACCAGAAAAGAGAUACUAUUGUUAAAACUUGUCGAUUUCCAAAGUUUGCUGGCGAGGGAACUAGGCAAAAUGGAUUCCCUCGUUGCGAAGAAUUGGUUGUGCUGGGAGUGUUGCACAGCACUGGGCUUGGUAGUGUAUCAGUGAUGACAGUGAGUGGUGGUGGCAACAGCAGCUAUCGGUUCAAAGCAGCUGGGUUAGGGGGAGAAAAAGAGAUUAUGGUAAGAACAGCUAGAUUUUCUUGCCUGACAAGCAAGCGAUGCAUUGCUUAUCCUUGCAUGAUGAGCCGAGCUGAGAAAGUGGCAAGUUUUGCUCAGGAAGUAACAUAGGUCUAAACCUUGGCAUCACUAGCAUGACUAAAUUGUGGUGUGGCGAGUUCUGGCUUCCAACCGAAUGCCCCCAUUUGUCUCCCAACCCAAGAGGUUGGCAAUGAAUUCUCACCCCCAGCAAGUUUUUACGCAUUAAUUCGCUUCCUGUGUACACUUUCUUCCUGUGCUCGGGUGAAGUUAGAGCUUGGAUGACUCAAGUGCACUGGACACUCCAUAGAUGUCUUUCUAGAGACUAGCAUAAAUUGUGGCUGGUGCACAUGUUUAAACUUGGGCGGUGCACAAGAGGUGAAAAUGAGUUUCUAUUGCCUAUUACUUAAAAUUUUGUUUUGACCCUGGUGUUGGUGCAUUCGGGAUGCUGAGCAGAGAUGGGGAAUGGGAUACCAACUAGCUAGCUUGUCGCUUGGAUACUAGCUAUGUGUGCACUUGGAUUAUUGGAGUUUUCAUAUUUGCAGCAGCAACCGAGCAAACAGCACCAUCUGCUAAGUUGGAUCAAUCGAGGGUGAUUUCAGAGUGUCUGUGGACUCUUUGAAAUCUCAAAUGCAAGAUGCAAAAUUAUUCAAAUGAUUUUGGCGGCUUGUUUUAGCUGGGUUUGUAAGCUCUUUGAGACCAGUUUUCAUUUCUUUCUUCUGAAAGUUUGACAACAAUUUUGCUAGAUUGGGUUUAUGGGAGUAAGUGGAAGUGACGGAGGAAAUGCCGCCCUUCACUAACAUCGCCCUCAUAUGCCAUGUCACCAUGUUUGCGUUUUUUGGAAGCUCGCGUAACACAUUUCACCUUUGAUGCAUUCUCCUUGUCUUCAUAAUCCAAUGGUGUUGCCACAUCAACUAUAUCAACAUGUUUCACAAGUGCUGCUAUGUAUGCACCUAGAUACAUAGGAUUAUUUCCAAAAAUGUCACGCGAAGAACAAGAAUCCUUGGGCCCCAUAGCAGGCAGCUGAUCCAAAUUUUCCUCAAUAACCCUAGUAGUAUAUGUUCAAAGUUUUUGUUGUCUCAGUUGGUUUAUUAUCAGUGUCAACAGAUGAUACUGCCUCUUUUCAUCAACAGAUUGGAUGACUCGAGUGCACUGCACACUCAAGAGAUGUCAUUCUAGAGGAGGCUUUCCUCUAUACCACUAAAAAGAUAAAGCAGACCUUUGUGCCAUGACACUUUUCUUUUUUGUCUUCCAAGCCUCUUGAGUUGGGAGACAAAUGGUGGCACGCUCCAGCUUCCCCCAAAUCCCUACUGAAUUGCUAUUUAAUGUUCCUGUUCUUCCCCUCCGAUCCAAUGUCCCCCUAGUUGUAGCGCUCCCCACGGCAAUUGAACCACGGGCCACGGCAUUCACUGACAUUGAGGAGGCUUCCGACGCUGGUUGCCAUGAGGAAGAAGCUGGACACGCUUCCCUGCUGUAAGAUUCAAUCUUAGAUCCUGCGAUCGGUUUGAAUUCCUGUGUCCUAGUUUCGUUCAGUACAUGCAUCAGGAUAGUUGAGGGCUUUGGUUGGUGAUUUUGUGAAUUCACUGUAGAUUUGACUAUCUAAGCAGUUGAUCUGUACAAAGUCUUGGAAUGUUUGGGUCUUGUUACCUACCACCAGCAUUUCUGUUAUAGUUUCUGUGAUAGUUUUUUUGGUGUGGAUCAGGAUACCAUCUGAUCCCAAGCAUGAUAUAAUCAUCCAGUGUAAUUUCUAUUCAAAAGAAAUUGUGUACUCAUCAGCAGCUUCAAAUGUGUAUGGAUCCAACCAAAUUUGUGUUCCAAUGAUCAGAGGAACCAGCAGCCUAAAAAUGAGUGGCACAGAGGAAAACAAAACAUUAUCCCUUCUCUAGCCUGGGGGCAUCCGUUAGCCACCGUUAGCAGUGAAUAUGGGCAGAAUGGCUUGUGAGGCAACAAAGAAAAGUGUCAUGAUAUAGAGGUCCGCUCUAACUUUUUAGUGACACGGAGAAAGGGAUCAUCUUUCUUAAUGGCACACAGGGAAAAACCUCAUUCUAGAGACUGGCAGCAAUUGUGGUUGGUUCACAUGUUUAAACCUGGGCGGUGCACAAGAGGUGAAACUGAGUUACUAUUGCCUAUUACCUGAAAUUUUGUUUUGACCCUGGUGUCUUUGCAUUCGGGUGGCUUGACAUAUCUUCGCCCAUGUAGGUGGUUUUCAUCAAACAGUGUGGAUCGAGUUUUUAUUUUCUAAUAAACCAAAUGGACUGGAUCGAGCUUCUUCACAACGGCACUAGUAGUAACAGUCAAACAGAGAGCAACCCAGAUUUUGCUUAGAUUAAAAGCUUGGCAGCGACCGUCACUCAUGGUCUUACCAACCACGCUAAUAGUAGCAUGAUGUCGAUGACCUCGGCAACGGCACAUGAGGUCCUCAUCCUCCUAGAAGAGAUACUGGAGGACAUCUUCCUCUGCCACGGUGCUGCGGCUGACGUCCCCCGGGCCUCCGCUACCUACAAAUCGUAUCACUGAGUCGUUUGCAAUCACCAGUUCAACCGCAGGUUCCAGUUCGUCCACCCUCCACAAGAAUUCCACCAUGCCGAGACGCCACACAAGUCUGCUCCUGCUGCUAGAUCCCUUGUGUAGGCGGCAGACUUCACCUUCUCCUUCCUUCCCAUGAAACCCAACAAGAAGAGGUGAAACUGACAUGACUAAAUUGCAAUGUGGCAAGUUUUGCCUCCCUACCGAGUGCCACCAUUUGUCUCCCAAGUCCCAACUCAAGAGGCUGGGACUUGAUUCACACCCCCACAACAAUUUUUGGAUUUUCGCACAUUAAUUCGCUUCCUCUGUACACAUUCUUUUCGUGCUCAGCCGAAGCUAGAGAUUGGACGACUCAAGUGCACUGCACACUCAAGAGAUUGGCAGCAAUUAUGGCUGACACACAUAUUUAAACCUGGGCAAUGUACAAGAUGUGAAACUGAGUUACUAUUGCCUAUUACGUGAAGUUUUAUUUUGACCCUGGUGUCAGUGCAUUUGGGUGUAUUGAUAUAUCUUCACCCAUGUAGGUGGUUUUCAUCAAACGAUGGGGAUUGAGUUUUUAUUUUUCUAAUUAACCAAACAGAGUGGAUCGAGAUUCUCCACAAUGGUUGUAAUAGAACGGUAGGACAGAGAGCAGCUCAGGUUUUGCUUAGAUUAGAAGUUUGGCAACGAUAGUCAAUCUCACGGUCUCACCAACUACGCCGAUGGCAGCGUGAUGUCGACGACCUCUGCAAAGGUGCAUGAGGUCCAUGUCCUCCUAGAUGAGAUCCUAGAGGACAUCUUCCUCCACCUCGGCGUAGCAGCUGGCAUCGUCUGGGCCUCCGCUACAUAUAAAUCGCAUCGCUGAGUCGGCUGCAACCAACGGAUCCUACGCAGAUACCAGUUCCUCCGACCCCUGCCCGUCCUCGGAAUCUUAGAAUCCAUGGGGAAGGGAGAAAUCCACCACGCCGAGACUCCACACAAGUCUGCUCCUGCCGCUAGCUCCCUCGCGUGGGCAGCAGACUUCACCUUCUCCUUCCUAGGAAACCCAACAAGAAGAGGUGAAACUGGCAUGACUAAAUUGCAGUGUGGCGAGUUUUUGUUCCCUACCAAAUGCCCCAUUUUUUCUCCCAACACAAGAGGUUCGGAUUUGAUUCCCACCCCACAAGUUAUUGGAAUUGUGCGCAUUAAUGCGCUUCUUUUGUACAUGUUCUUCCCGUGCUCGGGCGAAACUAGAGCUUGAAUGACUCGAGUGCACGGCACACUCAAGAGAUGAUUCUUCCUGUGCUCGGGCAAAGCUAGAGCUUGAAUGACUUGAGUGCACUGCACACUCAAGAGAUGUCUGGCAGCAAUUGUGCCUGGUGCACAUGUUUAAACUUGGGCAGUGCACAGGAGGUGAAACCGAGUUACUACUGCCUAUUACCUGAAAUUUUGUUUUGCUCAAUAUGCUAAUUAAUUAAACUCUGUACAUAUAAGUCAUUGCCUUCUGAUGAUACAUACUCACACAACUAACUAUGGCUUACGGCUCAUCGCUAAAUGACAAAACCAGCUAGCUUGAUUCUUUGAAAUUAACACUCCUAGUAGCAACAGAGACCAGAUCGAGCCCGCCGUCGCCCUCCGGCCUCUAUUCCGCUCCCUAGAUCGAGCCUGCCAUCCCAUCGCCGGCACCCAGUAGGUUGCCAAUGGAGCCACAGAAGCAGCAGGUAAAGCAUGGUUCUCUUCUUUACUCCUGUGCAGGUGAUAGAUGUGGGGGUAGUAGGACCAUCCAGUCUGGCCAUAGAUUUUACAUUUUAUAUUUAUAUACAUAGAAUAGACGCGGGGGCCAUACAGAAAGCUGCCUGGCCGUGCACAUGAAGGCGAAACUAUUUUUGCUUUAGUAUGUCAUCAUCCCCAACCAAAAGUACUCUGUCAAAAUUCUGCACUGUUGGACCGGUAGCACGAGCGGCAAGCAAUGCUAGUCACACGGACGGCGGCUCUUGUCACACAGUCUGACAUCUGUAGGGCCGCUGGAAGAUGGAUGAAAGAGGGCAUAUCAUGUCGGACCAUGUUGGGAAUCUGCUAAGAGUUCUCUCUCGCCAUCCUUAUUAGAAGUCAAUGGAGGUGCAAAAAUUGGUGCGAAGUCUGAAUCAAGCACCGGUUUAUUUUCUAGCUCCUUAGCUACCAAGAGGAUGCUGGUGAAUGAACUAUGUAUCUCGUCAAAGCAAUCUUUAUUUCACUACUAUUUUUGAGGAGGUUAUUGCGGAGGAGAUAACACAUUGCUUAUGCUUUGGACUUGAAAGCAUUGGAUUUACCUCGAUUACUGUCAUAUCCCUGAAUUCCCAUAAUUUGUUUUGGUAAAUGAAUAUAACAGGAACAAAUUUGUACCCCUGUUCAUGCAGUAUCGUAGAUCUCAGAUCAGAGAGCAAGUUUUGUUAGGACAAAUCUUGAAGGUCAUAUGUGAAAUAAAGUGUAUGACACAUUUCCUUUUCCAUUACUCAACCCAAGACUUUAGACGCCACUUAAUCCCGGACGAGAUUUCUUUAAGGCCUUGUUUGGAUGCCCAUAUCUAUCCACCUCAAUCCAAUGGAAGGCGGCUUGUUGGGAAAAUGCGCAUUGCACUCCCCAGCAACACGGUGAAUCGAGAGCCUUCUCACGCGAUGCAGUGAGAGGACAAACAGUAACGAACAGAGGGCUCAACAGUAGGUGAAAACAAUGAAUGCUCUCUCUCUUAAUGGUGGCAUCGCUCCUCUUAUACAGGGCUCAAAAACCGACCUAAGACAAUUACAGAAAUGCCCCGUGACGGUGGGGGAAUAUCCUGGCAUAUUCCUACGUUACAGUCUACUGACCCCAAGUCAUUUAUGUAAUUUCACACCACGAGCUCCUCGCGCGCUCCACGGUCGGGGCUUCAACUCGUCGAACGCUUGAAUCCUCCGCCCGAUCAUCGAACCUUCGACGCACGUAUGCCGGAGGUUCCACGGCUUGGCCACGCCGGAGGUUCCUCGGCUCAGACGCGCCGGAGGCUCGUCCCCUCCGCCGCGUCCUUCGCGCUUCCUUCGUCCAUCCUCCGUCACGGGAAGGUCCGGAGGUUCCUUCCUUCUCCGUUCAUGACCUCCGUCGUUGUCUUAGCCCCUGCAAUUGCUCAGUAUCACAAGAGACGCGUUAAUAUUAGUCUCCCUCAGAACCUCCGCACAUAUUCGUACGAAGGUUCUCCGGGCGGAGGUUAUCCUCCGAGACAGCCAGGGGGAAGGAUGCGGCCAAUUCCUUCCUUCUCCGUUCAUGACCUCCGUCGUUGUCUUAGCCCCUGCAAUUGCUCAGUAUCACAAGAGACGCGUUAAUAUUAGUCUCCCUCAGAACCUCCGCACAUAUUCGUACGAAGGUUCUCCGGGCGGAGGUUAUCCUCCGAGACAGCCAGGGGGAAGGAUGCGGCCAGCCCCCAACACGGCUCUUGUCACAGUCUGACAUAUGUAGGGCUGCCGACCGAUGGAUGGAUGAGGGCAUAUCAUGUCAGACCAUGUUGGGAAUGUGCUAAGAGUUCUCUCUCUCGUCAUCCUUAUUAGAAGUCAAUGGAGGUGCCAAAAUUGGUGUGAAUUCUGAAUCAAGCACCAGUUUAUUUUCUAACUCCUUAGCAGUACCCAGAGGAUGCUGGCGAAUGAACUAUAUAUCUCACCAAAGCAAACUUUAUUUCACUAUGUUGAGGAGGUUAUUGCAGAGGAGAUAACGCACUGCGUAUGCUUUGGACUUGAAAGCAGUGUUGAUCAGGUGAGUUGACAACGACAAGUAAUUUACCUCGAUUACUGUUAUAUCCCUGAAUUCCCAUAAUUCACCUUUCUAGAUCACACUAGUGCUUUGUGUAAGAAAAAAAAAUGGUGUGUGCACAACUGCACAUGCACUUCCUUUGUGUAUGAGACACUUCUCUAUGAUUUGAUCAUAUAUUCAGGUGUUAGAUAUGCUAACGUCAUGUGUGAUGGUUAGAGGAAUUUCUCUCUUGUGCGGGUAAAGAAUGUUUCGAAAUUUGGUUCAUUCAUUGUAUUCAGCACCUAGCACUUUAUUUUGGAUUAGCAUAUCACAGCAGAUAUGAUGAUUCUUUCACAUUAUUCUCAUUCUUGGCACGUACAGGUGAUUUGCUAACUCAAUCAGGUUGAAUAUCAUAUUAAUACUACAUACCAUGUGCAGCGUAGGACUGUCAAAGGUUUACAUGAAAUGUAUGAGAAAACCCAAGAUAAGAUUCUGUUGAAAUUUGUGGCAGUCUUCCCUGCCUUUUAUUAACAAUUUGUCGAAGGCGAGGCUGGCUGGUGGGGCCCCUAGGCCAGUCGGUCUGCAGGUGGCCCCACCUGCAGUGAUCUGCUGUGGGUCGUGGUGGUUCGCCUUCUUGAAUGUACUAGAGUCUUCCUGAAUUGUUUUCGUCGUGAAUAAAUCAAGAUUAAAUCUGGCA